UAAGCGGAGGAAAAGAAACUAACAAGGAUUCCCCUAGUAGCGGCGAGCGAAGCGGGAAGAGCUCAAAUUUAUAAUCUGGCACCUUCGGUGUCCGAGUUGUAAUCUCUAGAAAUGUUUUCCGCGUUGGACCGCACACAAGUCUGUUGGAAUACAGCGGCAUAGUGGUGAGACCCCCGUAUAUGGUGCGGACGCCCAGCGCUUUGUGAUACAUUUUCGAAGAGUCGAGUUGUUUGGGAAUGCAGCUCAAAUUGGGUGGUAAAUUCCAUCUAAAGCUAAAUAUUGGCGAGAGACCGAUAGCGAACAAGUACCGUGAGGGAAAGAUGAAAAGCACUUUGGAAAGAGAGUUAACAGUACGUGAAAUUGUUGGAAGGGAAACGCUUGAAGUCAGACUUGCUUGCUGAGCAAUCGGUUUGCAGGCCAGCAUCAGUUUUCCGGGAUGGAUAAUGGUAGAGAGAAGGUAGCAGUUUCGGCUGUGUUAUAGCUCUCUGCUGGAUACAUCUUGGGGGACUGAGGAACGCAGUGUGCCUUUGGCGGGGGUUUCGACCUCUUCACACUUAGGAUGCUGGUGGAAUGGCUUUAAACGACCCGUCUUGAAACAAG
rnacentral:rRNA from 1 species